rnacentral:rRNA from 1 species
GACGAACGCUGGCGGCGUGCUUAACACAUGCAAGUCGAGCGGUAAGGCCCUUUCGGGGGUACACGAGCGGCGAACGGGUGAGUAACACGUGGGUGACCUGCCCUCAGCUCUGGGAUAAGCCUGGGAAACCGGGUCUAAUACUGGAUAUGACUCCAUGACGCAUGUUGUGGGGUGGAAAGCCUUGUGCGGCUGAGGAUGGGCCCGCGGCCUAUCAGCUUGGUGGUGGGGUGANGGCCUACCAAGGCGACGACGGGUAGCCGGCCUGAGAGGGCGACCGGCCACACUGGGACUGAGACACGGCCCAGACUCCUACGGGAGGCAGCAGUGGGGAAUCUUGCGCAAUGGGCGAAAGCCUGACGCAGCGACGCCGCGUGAGGGAUGACGGCCU